GAGAUAGCAGGCAAGAUAAAAGGAAUGGGACUUAUCAGUGAGUUAAAAAAAGUAAAAAAAAGUUUGGGUUAUCUACAUUUUUACACUGUUCUGUUCACACUACAGAGGACUUCCUCUCACUCAGAUACACGGCCUGAGCAGGACUUCCCACCAAGUUAUGCUUUGAAGUAUCAGCUGUUAGAGCAUCCAAUUUCAAGACCAUUCUACGCAGGAGAGCAGUUACCUAAGGUCAAGCAAGCAGCAUUUUAUUUUUAAAGGCAAAAUUAUGUUCCCUGCAUCUGUCUAAAAGCAUUACCUGAAAAAGGAAAAUCUGGACUUCCUGCUCGCUGGUGUGUCAGACCCAGCACCCAUGUUGUCACAUCUGUGUCAGUGACACUUAUGAAACAUCUGAAUGCUCCAUCAGCUUAGUGAGUUCCUGGAGAUGCUGCAGUGUGAUUGGGUGUUUCCUUCAACUUUUAAAAAAAGUUUCUACAUUAAAACUUAGC